rnacentral:rRNA from 1 species
GACGAACGCUGGCGGCGUGCUUAACACAUGCAAGUCGAACGGAAAGGCCCUGCUUUUGUGGGGUGCUCGAGUGGCGAACGGGUGAGUAACACGUGAGUAACCUGCCCUUGACUUUGGGAUAACUUCAGGAAACUGGGGCUAAUACCGGAUAGGAGCUCCUGCUGCAUGGUGGGGGUUGGAAAGUUUCGGCGGUUGGGGAUGGACUCGCGGCUUAUCAGCUUGUUGGUGGGGUAGUGGCUUACCAAGGCUUUGACGGGUAGCCGGCCUGAGAGGGUGACCGGGCACAAUGGGGAUGGGGAUCCGCCCAGACUCCUACGGGAGGCAGCAGUGGGGAAUAUUGCACAAUGGGCGGAAGCCUGAUGCAGCAACGCCGCGUGCGGGAUGACGGCCUUCGGGUUGUAAACCGCUUUCGCCUGUGACGAAGCGUGAGUGACGGUAAUGGGUAAAGAAGCACCGGCUAACUACGUG